GAUGGACUGCUCCUGAUGUUGCGGCGGACGGGUGAGUAACACGUGGGUAACCUGCCUGUAAGACUGGGAUAACUCCGGGAAACCGGGGCUAAUACCGGAUGGUUGUUUGAACCGCAUGGUUCAGACAUAAAAGGUGGCUUCGGCUACCACUUACAGAUGGACCCGCGGCGCAUUAGCUAGUUGGUGAGGUAACGGCUCACCAAGGCGACGAUGCGUAGCCGACCUGAGAGGGUGAUCGGCCACACUGGGACUGAGACACGGCCCAGACUCCUACGGGAGGCAGCAGUAGGGAAUCUUCCGCAAUGGACGAAAGUCUGACGGAGCAACGCCGCGUGAGUGAUGAAGGUUUUCGGAUCGUAAAGCUCUGUUGUUAGGGAAGAACAAGUGCCGUUCAAAUAGGGCGGCACCUUGACGGUACCUAACCAGAAAGCCACGGCUAACUACGUGCCAGCAGCCGCGGUAAUACGUAGGUGGCAAGCGUUGUCCGGAAUUAUUGGGCGUAAAGGGCUCGCAGGCGGUUUCUUAAGUCUGAUGUGAAAGCCCCCGGCUCAACCGGGGAGGGUCAUUGGAAACUGGGGAACUUGAGUGCAGAAGAGGAGAGUGGAAUUCCACGUGUAGCGGUGAAAUGCGUAGAGAUGUGGAGGAACACCAGUGGCGAAGGCGACUCUCUGGUCUGUAACUGAC
rnacentral:rRNA from 1 species